GACGAACGCUGGCGGCGUGGAUUAGGCGAUGCAAGUCGAACGGUAGGAGUCCUUUCGGGGAUCUGAGAGUGGCGAACGGGUGAGUAACACGUAGGUGAUCUACCCUCAAGACGGGACAACCCAGGGAAACUUGGGCUAAUACCGGAUGUGAGCUAUCGCGAGAUAGUUUGAAAGGUGGCUUCGGCUGCCGCUUGAGGAUGAGCCUGCGUCCUAUUAGCUAGUUGGUGAGGUAACGGCUCACCGAGGCGAUGAUAGGUAGGCGGCCUUAACGGGUGGUCGCCCACACUGGGAUUGAGAUACGGCCCAGACUCCUACGGGAGGCAGCAGUCGAGAAUAGUCUACAAUGGUCGGAAGACUGAUAGUGCGACGCCGCGUGAACGAUGAAUCCCUUCGGGGUGUAAAGUUCUUUUAUAUGUGAGCAGUGCUUCUUAUAUUAACAGUAUGGGGAGAGAGAUAUUAGCAUAUGAAUAAGCAACGGCUAACUCCGUG
rnacentral:rRNA from 1 species